UACGUAGGGUGCGAGCGUUGUCCGGAAUUACUGGGCGUAAAGAGCUCGUAGGUGGUUUGUCGCGUUGUUCGUGAAAUCUCACGGCUUAACUGUGAGCGUGCGGGCGAUACGGGCAGACUGGAGUACUGCAGGGGAGACUGGAAUUCCUGGUGUAGCGGUGGAAUGCGCAGAUAUCAGGAGGAACACCGGUGGCGAAGGCGGGUCUCUGGGGCAGUAACUGACGCUGAGGAGCGAAAGCGUGGGGAGCGAACAGG
rnacentral:rRNA from 1 species